AUUGAACGCUGGCGGAAUGCUUUACACAUGCAAGUCGAACGGCAGCACGGACUUCGGUCUGGUGGCGAGUGGCGAACGGGUGAGUAAUGUAUCGGAACGUGCCCAGUCGUGGGGGAUAACGUAGUGAAAAUUACGCUAAUACCGCAUACGAUCUAUGGAUGAAAGCGGGGGAUCGCAAGACCUCGCGCGAUUGGAGCGGCCGAUAUCAGAUUAGGUAGUUGGUGGGGUAAAGGCCCACCAAGCCAACGAUCUGUAGCUGGUCUGAGAGGACGACCUGCCACACUGGAACUGGGACACGGUCCAAACUCCUACGGGAGGCAGCAGUGGGGAAUUUUGGACAAUGGGCGAAAGCCUGAUCCAGCCAUUCCGCGUGCAGGAUGAAGGCCCUCGGGUUGUAAACUGCUUUUGUACAGAACGAAAAGGUUUCUACUAAUACUAGGAGCUCAUGACGGUACUGUAAGAAUAAGCACCGGCUAACUACGUGCCAGCCGCCGCCGUAA
rnacentral:rRNA from 1 species